rnacentral:rRNA from 1 species
AGUGAACGCUGGCGGUAGGCCUAACACAUGCAAGUCGAACGGCAGCACAGUAAGAGCUUGCUCUUACGGGUGGCGAGUGGCGGACGGGUGAGGAAUACAUCGGAAUCUACUUUUUCGUGGGGGAUAACGUAGGGAAACUUACGCUAAUACCGCAUACGACCUACGGGUGAAAGCAGGGGAUCUUCGGACCUUGCGCGAUUGAAUGAGCCGAUGUCGGAUUAGCUAGUUGGCGGGGUAAAGGCCCACCAAGGCGACGAUCCGUAGCUGGUCUGAGAGGAUGAGCAGCAGCACUGGAAGGGAGACACGGUCCAGACUCCGACGGGAGGCAGCAGGGGGGAAUAUGGGACAAGGGGCGAAAGCCGGACCCAGCAAUACGGGGGGGGGGAAGAGGGCCUUGGGGUUGUAAAGCCUUUUUGUGGGGAAAAAAAAGCAGCAGGUUAAUACCCCGCUGUUCUGACGGUACCAAAAGAAUAAGCACCGGCUAACUUCGUG